rnacentral:misc_RNA from 1 species
AAGCUAUCAAACGAUAUGGCA